rnacentral:misc_RNA from 1 species
UUUGCAGGCCAUCCCCGGUCAGCUCCUCUUAAAUGCAUUAGCGGAACUCUAUGCGGUACCAGCCUCGGUUUGAUAACCCUAUCUAUGCUGUCGCUGUUGGACUGCGCUGUUUGGCUUACAGUUGUCUUCGGACUGUCACGCUUGUGGCAUAAACUUUUAAACUUGAUCUCAAAUCAGGUAGGACUACCCGCUGAACUUAA